CCUCAACACCUCCACACUCCACAGACACACAAACGGAAGCCAGGACGAAGCCACCAUGGCGCUGGUCGUACGCGCCUCCGGUGGAGGUGGCGGCGUUCGCCUGAUCUUCUCCGAGCUACUUCGGCGACUGCUAGGGAUGCGCUCGCGUCGCAUCGCCACUUCCAGCCCGUCCGGUUCCCCCUCCAGCGACGAAGACGACGACACCUCGCCGUUGAUCAAGCGGAUUCCGCGCAACAUCUCCUCGAUAUCCAAUUUCCUCUCUCUGGACGGCCGCGAUUCGAGCUCCGCGCACAUGUCGGGGGCGAUGCCUCUGCCAUUCGGCCAUCCCGACUGGCCCCGCCUGCCCACCACCUGUUCGAUGUCAGAACUGCACGGCCGGAGAGCGCCAAACAGGACCUGGAGAUGGUGACCAGCACCCGGCAAGUCACACGGUUGCCUAGGGAGCAUGAGCAUGUGAUGCCUCCGGUGGCCCUGGUGAACACUACGUCCGGUCAGCCUCCCAUCCUGCGCAUCCCGCUGACUGAUAGGCUGGUAGCCUCGUUCCUGGCACAGGCGGUGGGAGUUCAGGUUGAUGGUACCCAGGCCCGGGCCCAUGGUAGUGCAACCAGUGCUGCCCGCACAGGGCCCCCAGUUUUUAGGGGCCCCAAAUUUUCAGGCGUGGCCUAUUUACCAUGAGCCAGAGCAAGGCACCCAGCCUAAUUAGCAUUUGGUUCCAUCGGCUGGGUCCUGCACAGGUGGGCUUGUGGUCCAGCGCAUGGUUUGACUGAGCGACUGGCGAACAGUUUCUUCUUCCGGCGGCGGCGAUCGCGGCUGAUUGAUCCCUCUGGCUUGCCGAUGGAUCAGCUGAUUAAUUCUUUUACCGCAGCACUUGGAAUCCAAGAUGCCCUUAAAAAGGAAACUAGGAUUCUAAGAAGGCAGGAAACGGCCACCCUGUAACUGUAAGGCCUUUGUCCACUUGACCGGAGGACCAACCCAAUUGAUGAAAGUGUUCAGGGGCCUGCUUCUGGCGAAUGUCUUCUUUGCAUUGCCUUUGAUUGUGAUAUUUUUCCCAAGAUAUAACGAGGAGUCAAAGAAUGUUCUUCUCAGUUUGUUUGACAGAAAGGAAGUCAGUAACGAGAAAAUGAUCGUGUUAGCACUCUUUGUAAUUCACGCAAGUCUUGGUUCACUGGGUGUUCUCCUAGCUCACAUAGCAGAUGGUCCAGUGUGCACUGGGAUAGUAGGCUCACUUACUCCGUGGAUUAUCAUUUCUGUUGUGGGAUUCAUUGACUACAUAUUCUUGAAGACUCUUCCAGAUGAGGGCACUUACAAGAUUGUCUUUCUGGCGCAUUUCAUUGUGGUGCUACUAGUGAUAUGUAGUCUUUGGGCUAAAUUUGUUGGGUUUUCACAGUGCUGCAGCUCCAAGCAGGAUCAGAGUCUGCCUCUUUGACAUGCUUACUGGACACCUUUCAGCGGUAGUUGACUGAUCAUAAGCUUACUCGAUCAGACUGUCUUGGAUCGUCUACAUUACUCUGCCCUGUGAAUUUGUAGAGCCUAUUUGCCAGCUACAUGUGGAUAGCUAGUCAUAUGCGUUACAAAAGAACUGACAGUAAGUAGUUUCCAGUUUCCCUGCGGUCGAUGGUCGUUUCGCCAUCUGCGGCAACUGUACAGUCAACAAGGAGGCAAUUAUUUUUGGUGUGGCUUGUGAAAUGGAUUGGUAGCGAGCUGCAUGGUUAAACUUUGUUCACAAGUACAAUCAAUGCUUGCAAUUUGUUAUCUCGUACACAAUCUGGUAUUGCAAGGUCUGAUUCAGAGUAGGAUGUCCUUGAAACUGAUUCUGAUGUAUAUUCAAUUUGCAGUUCUAUUCCUGUUUCAA